AAUUGAACAAAAUCUUGUAUUGAAAUCAUUUACUACAUCAGAAUACGUGAUGAAAAGAUUGCCUCGGAUAGUUCUGUUGAUUUUAAAAUCAAGACAAACUGAGUCAACUAAUCAAGAAAAAGAAAACCUCAUGAUGUGGGUUGAAUUGCCAGGGACACCUAUGCUAAGACUUCAGGUCUUUAUACAGCUCAGUGGCCGGGUCUUUCUUGGCGAAAUAUUUGCAAAGUACACACGAAGCCCUCGCUUGCUCCGUAAAAAGUUCUCUUUCUCGGUACUUUUCAUUCGAAAAUUGUAAACUUAGUAGAGGACUUGCGAUUUUGGAUGCGAAAAGCUGGAUUUGGCGACUAGUGCGAGCUAUUUUAAGAAGCAGUAGAAGGAGUCCACAAUGCCCGGUAGAGGGUAGAAGAAGCAAUGCCAAUGGGAAACUCAAACACAAAUUUCAAUACAAGAAAGCCCUAACCAGGCCCUAACCUAGCGAAACGAUGUUGAAAACAACCCCAAAAUAACUGUUCAAUUCUCAAUGGACGAAGCAACUUACCAUGAUGCAGUAAAUCUAGAUUGAAGACUCGUUUCGUGCAAUUGGCACAACAGGAAACCUCCGAAAAUUUUACUACGAGGAAAAUUGUAAAAGAAGAAACGUGGAUCAGUAUUGCUUAUAC